rnacentral:tRNA from 1 species
GCUCCCGUCGUUCAAUGGAUAGGACACUCCCCUGCGAAGGGAGAAAUGCAGGUUCGACUCCUGCCGGGAGCA